GGACGCCGGGGAUGUAUGGGUGUGUAGGGUCUGAAAUUUUGCACACAUUUACAAUAAUUGUAAAUGUGUUGAAAAUCGUUUGCACGACUGUGA